CAUGCAAGUCGAACGAGAGAGAAGGAGCUUGCUUCUUCGAUCGAGUGGCGAACGGGUGAGUAACGCGUGAGGAACCUGCCUCAAAGAGGGGGACAACAGUUGGAAACGACUGCUAAUACCGCAUAAGCCCACAGGUCGGCAUCGACCAGAGGGAAAAGGAGUAAUCCGCUUUGAGAUGGCCUCGCGUCCGAUUAGCUAGUUGGUGAGGUAAUGGCCCACCAAGGCGACGAUCGGUAGCCGGACUGAGAGGUUGAACGGCCACAUUGGGACUGAGACACGGCCCAGACUCCUACGGGAGGCAGCAGUGGGGAAUAUUGCACAAUGGGGGAAACCCUGAUGCAGCGACGCCGCGUGGAGGAAGAAGGUCUUCGGAUUGUAAACUCCUGUUGUUGAGGAAGAUAAUGACGGUACUCAACAAGGAAGUGACGGCUAACUACGUGCCAGCAGCCGCGGUAAAACGUAGGUCACAAGCGUUGUCCGGAAUUACUGGGUGUAAAGGGAGCGCAGGCGGGAAGACAAGUUGGAAGUGAAAUCCAUGGGCUCAACCCAUGAACUGCUUUCAAAACUGUAUUUCUUGAGUAGUGCAGAGGUAGGCGGAAUUCCCGGUGUAGCGGUGGAAUGCGUAGAUAUCGGGAGGAACACCAGUGGCGAAGGCGGCCUACUGGGCACCAACUGACGCUGAGGCUCAAAAGUGUGGGUAGCAAACAGGAUUAGAUACCCUGGUAGUCCACACCGUAAACGAUGAUUACUAGGUGUUGGAGGAUUGACCCCUUCAGUGCCGCAGUUAACACAAUAAGUAAUCCACCUGGGGAGUACGACCGCA
rnacentral:rRNA from 1 species